rnacentral:lncRNA from 1 species
AUGGCCUCCGCAACAGUCACUCUUGUGUUAGCAAUACUGUCUCUAAGCUUGCCAUCUCAAAUCUCAGCUGAUACCUACUUGUACUCAUCACCUCCUCCUCCCAAGAAGCCCUAUUAUUAUCACUCUCCUCCACCACCUUCACCUCCUCCACCUAAGCCAUACUACUAUCAUUCACCACCACCACCUUCACCUCCUCCACCCAAGCCAUACUACUAUCACUCACCACCACCACCUUCACCUCCUCCACCUAAACCAUACUACUAUCACUCACCACCACCACCUUCACCUCCUCCACCUAAACCAUACUACUAUCACUCACCACCACCACCUUCACCUCCUCCACCUAAACCAUACUACUAUCACUCACCACCACCACCUUCACCUCCUCCACCUAAGUCAUAUUACUAUCACUCACCACCACCACCACCCAAAAAGAAGCCAUACUACUACCAUUCUCCCCCACCACCUUCACCACCUCCUCCUAAGCCAUACUACUAUCACUCUCCCCCACCGCCUUCACCUCCUCCACCUACGCCAUACUACUAUCAUUCUCCCCCACCACCCUCACCACCUCCACCUAAGCCAUACUACUACCAUUCACCACCACCCCCACCGAAGAAGAAGCCUUACUACUACCACUCUCCACCACCACCUUCACCUCCUCCUCCAAAGAAGCCAUACUACUACCACUCCCCACCUCCUCCCAAGAAGCCCUACAAAUAUUCAUCUCCCCCACCUCCAGUGCACCCUUACCCUCAUCCUCACCCCCAUCCCCAUCCACACCCCCACCCUCACCCUCCCUACGUUUACAAAUCUCCUCCCCCACCCCCUAAGAAGCCAUACAAGUACCCAUCCCCACCACCUCCAGUCCACGUUUACCCUCACCCUCACCCGCAUCCACACCCUCACCCUCAACCUCACCCCCAUCCACAACCCCACCCUCCCUACAUUUAUCAGUCUCCUCCACCACCCCCUAAGAAGCCUUACAAGUACCCAUCGCCUCCACCUCCCGUCCACCCAUACCCCCAUCCCCACCCUCUUCCUCAUCCCCACCCUCACCCUCUUCCACAUCCCCACCCUCUUCCCCAUCCUCACCCUCUUCCUCAUCCCCACCCUCUUCCCCAUCCUCACCCCCUCCCUCCUUACACUCCUCAUCCAAUCUAUCACUCUCCAUCACCACCACCACCUUACAAGAAGCCUUACAAGUACAAGUCCCCUCCACCACCUCCACACUACAUCUACGCAUCACCUCCACCUCCUUACCACUCUUAGACAGUGGUCAACUAGCAUAGUUCUAUGGUAACCUUCUUCAUACCUACGUACAUGCUACAUUAUUAUAAUUUCUCAUUAAUGGUUCCGCAUUUUUUUACAUCUAUACUUGUUCCCAAAAAAUGAAUACCAAACCCUCGUGAUCCCUGUCAAGGUUUUUAACUUGAUACGGAAAAUGAUUUUUCUGGUUUGGUUUUAUAGGGACCACGUACCCCUCACUGAAAUUGACAGACACUAUAAUAAUAUGUGCAUGUGUUCUAAUGUUUUGUA